CCUCUUCCGAUCAGCCAUGGAUUCCCCCAGAGGUCUUCCAAUCCAACCAAGCAUUUGGAAGUAUCUCCUUCCUCUAUUAUUAUUAUUAUUAUUAAUCCGACUUCACAAAUAUGAACUCCAUCAAUGUCGAGAUUAGUUAUUAGCAACUUCAUUUUGCAAUCAACAAAAGAAAGACUCCUUUGAUUUCAGAUGAAGCAAUGCUGCCAUUUUCGAUUUCCUCUUCGCUCAUUUUUUCGAUAAAAUUGAUUGGAUUCUCUGUCAAACGUCAUAAAAGAAUCGGCUAAGUACCCCCGUAUGCCUCUCAUGGAAGGGCAUUUUUGUCGUUUCUUGUU